UUUUUCUAAUUAAUUUGGUGGCAAAACUUAACCUGAACUGAUGUGGACAUUUUUAAAAUAGGCUUUACCUCACAUGGUCUUAAUUUUCAUACAGUUACCUCAAAAAUAAUGUGUUGGGAUACAGAAUGCUUGAGAUGGUUCAUAAAAUAUUGCACACACUCAGGUUGGCUUUUUCACAUCCUAAUGAAUUAGGUCUUUAGGGCCACGUUAAGCAGAAGAGAAUUACACUUUUUUAAUCCUCAUAACGAGCUCUUAAAUUAGGUACACUGGUUAUCUCCAUUAUGUAUACGGCUGGGGAAACCCACAGAGGUCAAGUAGCCUACUCAAGGUCAGAGAGCUAGUGAGUCGAGAAGCUGGCUUGUUGAAUUCUUGAACACUGUUUUCCAUCUGUUUUCCAUCUUUUGCGUCAAAACAAACAUGGGCAAAGCCCCAGGAGUGUAUGAAGUAUAGAGUCUAGGCCCUUUACCCCCUGCUUCUCCAACCCAGUUUCUCGGAUAUGUUGUUGACUAGUUUUGUACACAUCUUUCCAGGCAAUUUUCUGUCCCGUACAAACGCAGACACAUAUAAGCAAGUGUUAAAUAUCAGUCUAUACGCUCAACGGUAUAAGAGAUGUAACAGAAUAUUUCCAUUAAAUGUCAUUUCUCUUUUAAGCCUCCGUUCUGGGAUUGCAAGAAGUGAAAUCUCAGAACGCAGAACAGUUCCAGCCAGUCCCAGAUUUCCCCAGGGAAUUCGUUAUCGCCGCCUUCCCACCUGCAGGUGUCAGUCCAUUUGGGGGAGUCUUGAAGUGAAGGGUGGGUGGUGAAAUGGUGAGGGCUCCAUCUACUCCUUUGCUUCCAUUUACAGUAGUAGCUACUGACAUGUUUUAUUUUUUCCAUUGCUUGCUACAGGCAUUGAGAGAGAAGUCUUUAACUUAUCAGAUGCUAAAUUAAAUGAAUAUUUACUGCCAUCUAUAUAGGGUCUAGUCUGCAGGGAAAACAGCAUACUGGAUGAAGCAAUUCUUUCAUUGGUAAAGAUCCAAUGCUUUGAGUAAAUCUUGGGAAAAAUUGUAUAAUCAAGUUUUACCAUAAGAUCCCCCCAAACCCUAUGACACAGUGGAAGAACAACCUAGAUGUCGAGGCCAGAUUUGCAUGAGGAGGGAAUUAUAUGAGAUCCAUAAAAGAGAGGAUGAGGAGGAGCCAAAAGAAGCUAUAUCAAGAAUGUAAGCUCCAGCACUCAUACGGGAUCUGGUGUAUGUUGCAUCCAGUUCUAAAGGUAAUUGUUACUCUGGCGAGUUUCUUUCUACGGCACAAUAUUUCACGUAUCAGGGAGUUUGCUGACCAUAAUUUGGAGGCAACUUCACAGAGUGAAUAAAAGCAGAGGCUGCACACAGAUACUGGUGGAAUGUGAAUCCUGACUCCAUUACCUACAUUACCUUGUGACUCUGGGCAAAUUUCUUAAACUCCCCGCACCUCGGUUUAUUCAAGUAUAAAACAUGAACGUAAAGAUACCUCCCUCACACACGUCUUAGGGGAGAUAUUAAGUGCAUUAAAUGAGAUAAUUCAUGCGAGGGAUUAGGAGAGGGUUUGGUCAGCAUUGGCUCUUAGAACGAUGAUUUCCUUUGAGAGAUUUAAGGGUAACAGAAUUACAAUUACUGAAAAGGUAACUGGGCUGUGGUAAGCCAGGGGACUUUGAGCCAUGACAGUUAUUGAUAUGGUGGCAGACAAAAGACUAUAGGCAACCAAUAAUACUUGGGUGGGAAUGAGGAAAUGGACAAUUUUGAGUUCCAGAACGGUUUAGAUUUUUUUUUCUGACUUCCGAACUUUGGAGUCCAUUGGGAUUUAUUGCCUUCCUUUUUUUUUUUUUUUAUUACAUCUGUAUUUGGUUUGGUUCCUGAAGCAUAAGGUCUCUGAGGCGAGGUGCAUGUCUGACUCCUCAUUCCUUGAACUUAGUGAAAUAUAUACAGUGCUAAGAUGGAAACAAGCUUUUGCUCAUAAUAAUAUUCUAUAAAGGACCUUGGAUUUGUUCAUUUUGGUGGCAGAAUGUGUGGAGCACUUAGAGUGUUCUCUGUAACUGUACCUAUGUAUGUAUUUUUCCCCUUUUGACUUGUUGUGGUGUUUUGAAGAUGACUGCAAGCUUGGUUAAGGAUGACUGAAUUACACCAUGUAAAAUAAUUUACAAUCAUUUUACUAGAAAGUUAAUGUAAGCCUCAUUUUAUACAAAUAUUAAAAUAUUACUGUGCGUAAUAACACAUUCCAUUUGCUUCCUAAUUAAAGCAUUAGUGAAAACCCUCA